GCAUCACUCAUUAUAGGAGUGUUGAUGGACAUGUUCACUCAUGGCACAUGUAACCUGAGCUGAAAAAGCUACAACUUUGGGAAGUGAUCACAGUUUAUUCCCAAUGAUUUUCAUGAGCAAGAAAAGGUUAAGAAGUGUGAAUAGGACGAAAAAGUUUUCUGCCACCCUCAUUCCAGCGGUGUGCUUUACUAACUCGGUACUUUUGCUGGCUUGGGAAAGUGAGAGGAAAGAUAAAACUUAGAGGAUGUCUUCAAGGUCAGCAGGCAAACCCACAUCCCUCGGCGUCACUGGAAUAUUUGGAUCUGAGGAUGCAGGAACACCUGAGGGAGAUCACCCUGCUCUCACCUCUUUCAUGUCUUCAUAGAAAAGAUACUGCUUUACACUCACCAGCCUAACUGGGAUGACUGCCAACAACUCCCAAACUCUCUUCUACCUCAGAUGAGAGAGACAGAGUAUCUGGAUGGAAGCAAGGAAAUCCAUAGCCUCUGAGGACACCUUGAUUCUGGACCUUCUACCAGACCUCAACAGGAUCCCAACACUUAAUAAGGGUCUCACUAUGGAGCAUUGACCAGGCUGUCUGAAAAACAGAACCACCUGUCUGCUGUGAUUAAAGGCAUGUGGCACCAGUUGUGCCUACAGUUUGUAAUUUAAUCACCACUCCUGGAAAAAAAAAACAUAUCUAAGAACAACAUGAAAUCUGACACUGUCUCAUUUGCUUAAAUA